rnacentral:lncRNA from 1 species
GUUCCGUCUUACUGUGUUGAAGACCCAUUAUUGUUCGUGGGCUGUUUUCUGCUCCUUGGUCGCGGGUUGUUGUCUGUUAGACAAAUUCCCCGUUCCCUUUUCCAAUUUUAUCCAUUAGGUAUUUUACAUUUGUUUGUUGACUUGUUGGAUCCUUCUUCAAAUAUCCCCUCCAAUAAUUAUCCAUCAACCGUUUUACGUUGGCUCAGCUUGACCUCUUGGGCGAUUUAAAGCUGUACCAUUCAAUGAUAUACUAUCCAGGGUGCAGCAUUUCGUCCGUAACAAGGUCAAUAGUGUUUCCGAUGUAAUAUCCUUGGUGAAGUGAAACAAUGAUUGAAACUAAAUGCUUCUAUCGAUAUUCAUCUAUUAUAGCGAAACACUUAAUUGUGCAUAUUUUCCCAACCAUUUCUGCGAAUUAUUGGUUCAUUAAUAGGAAUUAAUAGCGUCAGGAAAAUGACCUAUUUAUAUUAAAUUUUUGUUUAAUCUACGAUAAAAAGUAGUAGGAGUUUAUCGCGUGUAUAUAUUCAAACGUAUGAAUAAAUUAUCAAUAAGCACUUAAUGCAGCAUAGAGGAGAAGUUUGGAAACAAUAGCCUAUAUACAAUAGCAAGUCUGCUCACUAUUGCUGGAUUCGAUUUAACUACACUGAAAUUGUUUUCUCACAUGUUUCAAGUAAAACGCAGCUUUGACGAAUUUUCCAUUUCUU